rnacentral:rRNA from 1 species
ACUCCUACGGGAGGCAGCAGUGGGGAAUAUUGCACAAUGGGCGCAAGCCUGAUGCAGCCAUGCCGCGUGUAUGAAGAAGGCCUUCGGGUUGUAAAGUACUUUCAGCAGUGAGGAAGGUAGUGUAGUUAAUAGCUGCAUUAUUUGACGUUAGCUGCAGAAGAAGCACCGGCUAACUCCGUGCCAGCAGCCGCGGUAAUACGGAGGAUCCAAGCGUUAUCCGGAAUCAUUGGGUUUAAAGGGUCCGUAGGCGGUUUUAUAAGUCAGUGGUGAAAUCCGGCAGCUCAACUGUCGAACUGCCAUUGAUACUGUAGAACUUGAAUUAUUGUGAAGUAACUAGAAUAUGUAGUGUAGCGGUGAAAUGCUUAGAGAUUACAUGGAAUACCAAUUGCGAAGGCAGGUUACUAACAAUAUAUUGACGCUGAUGGACGAAAGCGUGGGUAGCGAACAGGAUUAGAUACCCUGGUAGGAUAGCGU